rnacentral:tmRNA from 1 species
GGGGCUGAUUCUGGAUUCGACGGGAUUUGCGAAACCCAAGGUGCAUGCCGAGGGGCGGUUGGCCUCGUAAAAAGCCGCAAAAAAAUAGUCGCAAACGACGAAAACUACGCUUUAGCAGCUUAAUAACCUUAAGACGGGGAUCAAAGAGAGGUCAAACCCAAAAGAGAUCGCGUGGAGGCCCUGCCUGGGGUUGAAGCGUUAAAUCUAAUCAGGCUAGUCUGGUAGUGGCGUGUCUGUCCGCAGGUGCCAGGCGAAUGUAAAGACUGACUAAGCAUGUAGUACCGAGGAUGUAGGAAUUUCGGACGCGGGUUCAACUCCCGCCAGCUCCACCA